rnacentral:RNase_P_RNA from 1 species
UGAGUCCGCCGGACGGCCGCGGGAACCCUCGGGUUCUUGAGGAAAGUCCGGACUCCACAGGGAAGAGUGCUGGGUAACGCCCAGGCGGGGAAACCCGACGGAAAGUGCCACAGAGAACAGACCGCCUAUGUCGCUUGCGGCAGGUAAGGGUGAAACGGUGGUGUAAGAGACCACCAGCACGGCAGGAGACUGACGUGGCUAGGCAAACCCCACUCGGAGCAAGGUCAAGCAGGAGCAGGGCGUCCCGCCCGCUAACUCCAGGUAGACCGCAUGAGGUCACUGGCAACAGAGGCCCCAGAUAGAUGGUCGUCACGGGGCAACCCGUACAGAAUCCGGCUUACAGGCGGACUCACAGU